AGAGCAGUGGCUUAGUGGUCAAAGCACCUGACUUCCAAUUAUUAUAUAGCUGGUUGCAGCUCUGGUCUC
rnacentral:tRNA from 1 species